rnacentral:ncRNA from 1 species
GGCAGAUUCAAAAUUACCUGACAAUCAAGCGGGCCAUGAGAAAGGGACCACAGUUACACUUGCCGCUCAGGCAGGAGCAAACAUAGUCUUUGAAUCA